GCACUGCUGACGAGUCCCANCCCAAACAGGACGAAACAGCUGUCCAGUGC
rnacentral:hammerhead_ribozyme from 1 species